rnacentral:rRNA from 1 species
AUACGUAGGGGGCGAGCGUUAUCCGGAUUUGCUGGGUGUAAAGGGGGCGCAGACGGACAGGCAAGUCAGGUGUGGAAGCCCCGGGCACAACUCGGGGAGCGCACUUGAAACUGCAGGUCUGGAGUGCUGGAGGGGUGAGCGGAAUUCCUGGUGUAGCGGUGAAAUGCGUAGAUAUCAGGAAGAACACCGGCGGCGAAGGCGGCUCACUGGACAGUAACUGACGUUGAGGCCCGAAAGCGUGGGGAGCAAACAGGAUUAGAUACCCUGGUAGACCACGCCGUAAACGAUGAGCACUAGGUGUCGGGUAGGACAGCUACUCGGUGCCGGCGCAAACGCAAUAAGUGCUCCACCUGGGGAGUACGUCCGCAAGGAUGAAACUUAAAGGAAUUGACGGGG